UGCAUGUAUAAAAUAAACUUUUUUGGUUGUACUAAUAAUUAUGGUUACUUAUUUGCUUUUAAGCUCGUGAGGAGGUGAGGAUGUUCGGCAAGCGAUGGCGCCUUCGGUACAACAAGAUAAAAUUAAUUAGCACUGGGACCCGAGGUUGAGGUCAGGCCCGUCGUAAAAUCACUGUUCAAUUUUGGUGUUGUGCCUCGCCAAAUUGGGACGCCAUUGUUACUCACAAACCCUGAGCUAGAAAUUUCAUCCUCGUCGACCAGG